rnacentral:rRNA from 1 species
CCUUCGGGGUGAAGCUCGUGGAACGAGCGGCGGACGGGUGAGUAACACGUGGGCAACCUGCCUGUAAGAUCGGAAUAACCCCGGGAAACCGGGGCUAAUGCCGGGUAAUACUUUUCUUCGCAUGAAGAUAAGUUGAAAGAUGGCUUCUCGCUAUCACUUACAGAUGGGCCCGCGGCGCAUUAGCUAGUUGGUGAGGUAACGGCUCACCAAGGCAACGAUGCGUAGCCGACCUGAGAGGGUGAUCGGCCACACUGGGACUGAGACACGGCCCAGACUCCUACGGGAGGCAGCAGUAGGGAAUCUUCCGCAAUGGACGAAAGUCUGACGGAGCAACGCCGCGUGAACGAUGAAGGUCUUCGGAUCGUAAAGUUCUGUUGUCAGGGAAGAACAAGUACCGUGCGAAUAGAGCGGUACCUUGACGGUACCUGACGAGGAAGCCCCGGCUAACUACGUGCCAGCAGCCGCGGUAAUACGUAGGGGGCAAGCGUUGUCCGGAAUUAUUGGGCGUAAAGCGCGCGCAGGCGGUUCCUUAAGUCUGAUGUGAAAGCCCACGGCUCAACCGUGGAGGGUCAUUGGAAACUGGGGAACUUGAGGACAGAAGAGGAGAGUGGAAUUCCACGUGUAGCGGUGAAAUGCGUAGAUAUGUGGAGGAACACCAGUGGCGAAGGCGACUCUCUGGUCUGUUUCUGACGCUGAGGUGCGAAAGCGUGGGUAGCAAACAGGAUUAGAUACCCUGGUAGUCCACGCCGUAAACGAUGAGUGCUAGGUGUUAGGGGGCUUCCACCCCUUAGUGCUGAAGUUAACGCAUUAAGCACUCCGCCUGGGGAGUACGGCCGCAAGGCUGAAACUCAAAGGAAUUGACGGGGGCCCGCACAAGCGGUGGAGCAUGUGGUUUAUUUCG